AUUGAUUGAUCUUGUACAUACACUUAGUUAUUUUUCUCUUUCUUCGUGUUUUAUUGAUUGAUCUUGUACAUACACUUAGUUAUUUGUUCAAAUAAUUUUAUGAAAUGUUUCUGCUUUGUUGAACAAGCUAUUAGAUCACUUGACACACUAAUUUUUGAAUUGAAGAUAAAUUAGUAAUGAAAAAGGAAGAAAUUUUAUGUUACUAAGGUGUUUGUUGAAAUGUCCAAGAUAAGGAAACUCUAUUUUUACCUUUAAGAGUUCUAUUACUCAAAACAUCUAUCAUUUAGCAACUCUAUGCUGCAGUAAAAUUUUAAGAACCUUGUCCAUUGAUGAAACUGCAGAAGUGGAAGAUUAUAAUCCAAAUGCGCUCAAACAAAACUGAACGAAAUUGCUACAAAUUAAAGCUUUUGGAGGGAUUCAAAAGAUUGAUCAAAUUGAGUGAGGCAAUCGGACUUUGGAGAUCAGACAAGAAUCAAAAUGUACUUUCCCAGGAAAGGUUCCCAAUUUACACCUUCACAUCAUUCCGUUGACUUUUAUUGGAAGAUUAUUGCCCUAUGGUUUUCAGAGCUGGCAUGUACAUUUCAGUCCACUGCGUCGCUUGAAACGGACAACUAAGAUAAUGCGGGGUGCUUGUGACUAAUGGCUAUUGAAGUUGUCAGUCAAAUGAAUCAAUGGGGGCUGAAAAGAAAACAAAUGGGCUUAUAAAAAAGAAUCUUCCAGCUGGCUCAGCUGACAGUACAACGAGACUCGAUAUGCUAGUGCAUUGUACUUUAAAGGAGCCUGGAAUGAGAAGUUUAAUGCAUCAGUAACCAAGGAAAGUAAGUGUCUUCCAUAUAAACGGGUGAGGAUAGGCGUCGUUUCGCCAUGUACUUCUUUCUGCCUGACCCCAAUAACAGACUACCAGCUUUGAUAGACAAGUUCAGUUUCAGAUUCCGUUUCUUACUUAUUUGUUUCUAUUUCAUUUUCUUCCCCAAAUAUCAAUCUUAUUAAAGUUCCCCUAUUAGCAGUAACCGUUAUGUUUCUAGCGUCUUUCGCAAGUCCUUUAUUAAGGUAAAUAAAGAGGGAACAAAAGUUGUUGCUGCAGCUGCUGGUGUUGUUAUACUAAGAGCAUUGACGUUUUCGAAAGGAACUUAUCGGUACAUUUUUUAUGUAUCCCGCGAGCUUUUACUAUUAUAAAAUAUGCUUCUACUUUUCGACAGAUAUGUAGACUUUAUGUAGAUAUUUUUUGGUUACCACAGAGAUGAUAACUUCAGCAAAUUUUCAUCCUACAAAUUGCAAUACAUAGGCUUAUAAUAGUUUAAAAGGUUCAGUUCAUCUUAUAGAUCUGCGGCAGUCAGCACUAUGCAAUUACCCUACACAUGGUUAUAUCAUUUACCUAUAUCUUACGGGGGAGUACAAUUUUAUAGGGAUAGGAUCUGCUAUAACUUGAACAAGGUAGAUAGUAUCUUUCUUGCCCCUUGCUAUUUCGACUUCUUUGUAAGGUGAAAGAGUAAGAAGCUAGACCGACUUUCUCAAUUAAAAGUAUUAAUAGCAGGUAAGUAGGCUAUACUCCACAGGAACAAUCUUUACUUAGGUUUAAACAUACUGGAUAUAGCCACCUAGAACAAAGUUGCAAUUGAGAAAUUAUUUUGGUGAAAGCGCGUUAUGGUAAAGCUAUAAGACUUCCAGCUUAGAAAGGAGGCUUAUAAGACUCUGAAAUUUCCCCUGUGAAAUUGUUCAUGGACAUAUCUAAGUCCACAAUUUCUAUCAAGUUCCCUAGCUCCGCGGGGAUGUUACCCUCGAGUUUGUUGUGGUAAAACUCAAUGAGUUUCAAAUUCUUUAGCUGCCCAAGUUCUCUAGGAACCUUACCAACAUGGUGAUUCCAGCUUAAUUAUUCAAGAUCAACAAGAGAUGCCAUGUUACCUAUUGAAACUAGAAUUGUCCCAUGCAGCUUGCAAGCUGUCAAAAUGAUUCACUUGAGUUGUAUAAGCUUGGAAAUGUCCUCAGGAAAUUGCCACGGAUUGAUGGAGAUGAUGGAGAUGAUGGAGGAGAAAUAUAUAAAAGGGAUAAUUGAUAGGAACAUUUUGUUGCUUGAUGUACUGAAAGUGAGAGAUGAGGUAUACUAUUUAAGCUGCUACAAGCUGGUGCGCGUUGAAGAAAAAAUGCUUGCUCACCUGUGUUUGAGGUUUAGAACUGAUUCGGUAGGUCUGCAGCAGCAAGAAACUCUACAAACACUGCCAAAAGUUAUUCUAUAGUAUCUCCCAUGUUGACUGUAUUGUCCUUAUUAUUGACUCCCUCCACUGGCGCUUUUGAAGUUGGUAUCUCCAAAGAUGGCCAAACCUGUGAGCAUAUAUUGCUUGUUUUCACCUUUGGUGUCAAGCAAAUGAUUUGCUGUUGUAACAAGGUCUCUUUUGCUGUUAUUUUUUUUUUAUGUUAAAGUGAAAAUUGAUGUUGAAUUAUUAUUAAAAUACAAUGUUGGGCCCCGUGCUAAGCACGAGCCUUGUCCAUCUAGUUGUUCCCCGUGCUAAGCACGGGCCUUGUCCA